rnacentral:rRNA from 1 species
CUGGUUGAUCCUGCCAGAGGUUACUGCUAUCGAGGUUCGACUAAGCCAUGCGAGUCGAAUGUAGCAAUACAUGGCGAACUGCUCAGUAACACGUGGACAACCUGCCCUUAGGUUGGGCAUAAACCCGGGAAACUGGGUAUAAUACCCGAUAGGUCUCGAUUGCUGGAAUGCAUCGAGAUUUAAAGCUCCGGCGCCUAAGGAUGGGUCUGCGGCCUAUCAGGUAGUAGUGGGUGUAGCGUACCUACUAGCCUACGACGGGUACGGGUUGUGUGAGCAAGAGCCCGGAGAUGGAUUCUGAGACACGAAUCCAGGCCCUACGGGGUGCAGCAGGCGCGAAAACUUUACAAUGCUGGCAACAGCGAUAAGGGAACCUCGAGUGCCAGGUUACAAAUCUGGCUGUCGAGAUGCCUAAAAAGCAUUUCAUAGCAAGGGCCGGGCAAGACCGGUGCCAGCCGCCGCGGUAACACCGGCGGCUCGAGUGGUAACCGUUAUUAUUGGGUCUAAAGGGUCUGUAGCCGGCCGGAUAAGUCUCUUGAGAAAUCUGGCAGCUUAACUGUCAGGCUUUCAGGAGAUACUGUCUGGCUCGAGGCCGGGAGAGGUGAGAGGUACUUCAGGGGUAGGGGUGAAAUCUUGUAAUCCUUGAAGGACCACCAGUGGCGAAGGCGUCUCACCAGAACGGGUCCGACGGUAAGGGACGAAAGCUAGGGGCACGAACCGGAUUAGAUACCCGGGUAGUCCUAGCCGUAAACGAUGCUCGCUAGGUGUCAGUCACGGUGCGACCGUGAUUGGUGCCGUAGGGAAGCCGUGAAGCGAGCCACCUGGGAAGUAUGGCCGCAAGGCUGAAACUUAAAGGAAUUGGCGGGGGAGCACUACAACGGGUGGAGCCUGCGGUUUAAUUGGAUUCAACGCCGGG